AGAGGUGGCCGAGUGGCUGAAGGCGCUCGCCUGCUAAGCGGGUAUACCAGAAAUGGUGUCGAGGGUUCGAAUCCCUUCCUCUC
rnacentral:tRNA from 1 species